GACGAACGCUGGCGGCGUGCUUAACACAUGCAAGUCGAACGGAAAGGCCCUGCUUGCAGGGUACUCGAGUGGCGAACGGGUGAGUAACACGUGGGUGAUCUGCCCUGCACUUCGGGAUAAGCCUGGGAAACUGGGUCUAAUACCGGAUAGGAGCCAUCCUUAGUGUGAUGGUUGGAAAGUUUUUUCGGUGUAGGAUGAGCUCGCGGCCUAUCAGCUUGUUGGUGGGGUAAUGGCCUACCAAGGCGGGGACGGGUAGCCGGCCUGAGAGGGUGGACGGCCACAUUGGGACUGAGAUACGGCCCAGACGCCUACGGGAGGCAGCAGUGGGGAAUAUUGCACAAUGGGCGCAAGCCUGAUGCAGCGACGCCGCGUGGGGGAUGACGGCCUUCGGGUUGUAAACUCCUUUCGCUAGGGACGAAGCUUUUUGUGACGGUACCUAGAUAAGAAGCACCGGCUAACUACGUG
rnacentral:rRNA from 1 species